GGGGUGAUGGCGCAGCUGGGAGCGCGUUAGACUGAAGAAUCAACUUCAGUUCGUCUACUUCGAGUAGGGUUAUCUAAAGGUCACCGGUUCGAUCCCGGUUCAUCCCA